UCUAGUCUGCCCACUGAAUAAUAUUUAUUUAAAGGGCCGCGGUAUUUUGACUGUGCGAAGGUAGCAUAAUCAUUAGUCUUUUAAUUGAAGGCUUGUAUGAAUGGCUGGAUGAAGUAAAUACUGUUUUAUAUAUAUUUUUAAUUGAAUUUAGAUUUUAAGUAAAAAUACUUAAAUAAUAUUAAGGGACGAGAAGACCCUAUAGAGUUUAAUAAAUGUGAUGAUUAAUUUAAGUUAAAAAUUAAUUUAUAAUUAACAUAAAGUUUAUUUAAUUGGGGAGAUUUAAAGAUAAAUGAAACUCUUUUUAAAAUUUAAUAUUAUAGUUAGUUUUUUGAUCCAUAAAUAAUGAUUGAAAGAUUAAAUUACCUUAGGGAUAACAGCAUAAUUUUUUUUAAGAGUUCAUAUCGAAAAAGAAGAUUGUGACCUCGAUGUUGGAUUAAGAUUAGUUUUUAGGUGCAGAUGUUUAUAAACUAGGUCUGUUCGACCUUUAAAAUCUUACAUGAUCUG
rnacentral:rRNA from 1 species